rnacentral:tRNA from 1 species
GCCUGGAUGGCUCAGUUGGUUAAGCAUCUGACUUCAGCUCAGGUCAUGAUCCCAGAGUCCCGGGAUCAAGCCCCGUGUCAGGCU